AAACUGAUAAAGAUGGCGGCCGAUCGUCUCCGCCAUUUUGUUACACUGGGUCCACCCGCCUGUUUGGAUAAUGAUUCAUUUUCUGUCUUACUUGGCAAUGCGUCACGACAAAAAUAAAGUUCCUACUUCUUUAUCAAUCUAUACCGUUACCACCACGGGCACAACGUCAUUUAUAUCUAAUGCGGAACGUUUUACACUUCUGUAAAAUGGCAGGCAAAGUGAUUUGAUGUUUACUUUCUGAAACUCAAGACAACUAGGCUAUAUAUUUAAAGGAAACAAGGAAUGAAAAAAUGUGGACUCUCAAAGUGGAAAACUCAACCGUGAAUGUGUCGCUGAUGACGGAGUUCAAAAACAUUAAAUAAUUUUUUCAGUUCUUUGGUCUAAAGACACUGACUUUUCAAUUUGUUUAUCAGAAAGAUUGAAUUGAUCAAGUUUCUAAGAGGUGGAAUAGACCAGACGAUGAGGAACAGACAGAUCUUCUCUUCAGUUUAUGUUUUGUGAUGUUUGGUUCAUUUUUUUACAAUAACAUGCUUUUUUCGUGGAGGAUUUUGCUCCGAGUAAAUCUUGAGCACCUGCUUUAAAAUGGAAGGAGACUCAUCUCUAAGUAAAGUCACAUGUGCCAAUCUUGCUCAUAACACCUUCAAUGUAAGAGCUAUAAACAACCACUACCAUGUUAAGAGCUAUAUAGAUUCAUGGCUGAUAUAGAGGAAAUUCUACGCAUAAUUUUAUAUACUGUCUAUUCCGUGCAUUCUUUACGUAAAAUAUGGAAAAGUGGUUCUUUAUUUGCAGCGAGAGCAUAUUGACAUUUAUUGCAAUACAAACUGGUUGCAAUCCUUACAAAAUUGCAAUAUUGUAUGGAGUCCAUGGCCACAUUUGGCAAUUCUUGCCUUCAAAAUCCACCACCAACGCAACUCAAUUUUACCCAUGGUUGAGAAGUCCUUAGUUCAAACUGUUCUGAAAAAUUUGGGGGAUUCUGACUUAGCAUAGCUUUUACUGUGGGAUGUGGCAGUAGGCAAGGGUUGAUUGGAAUUGUAUGAAACUGAAACAGAGUCUUUAAUCUAGGAUUCUAAUCAUGAUUACUAAUGCUAGGUCAUUGUUAACUUUUUUGAACAUGAAGUUAGUAUUCAG